UCUAGAGGGAGGGAGCUUGGCUGGAGUGAUGGAUGGUGUGAGCGACUGCAGUACAGUGUGCAAGAGGUGUGGACGUGUGUGUGUGUGUGUGUGCAUGUGGAGUGUGCAAGCUGCGUGUGCGUUUGCACCCAUGUCUCUCCCUGUGCCUCUAUCUUGAUUCUACUGGAUCAGGUAGGUUGUGCACCUCCAGUCCCCGCCCCACAGGGCCGUCCUAAAAUGAAAAGCCAAACUUCUGUGACUUCCCCUUCUUCUGA